rnacentral:misc_RNA from 1 species
UUGAAGCUAAUUCUCUUUUCAUAAGCCUAGUGUUCAUGGAUUCGCAGCGAAUAUUACCUCAUUCUCAUGAGUUCAAUCAACACCACGGGAUAAAAUCGAUUGCAAUCCUCUCUGUCAAUUCCACCUCUGCGGAAAACCCUACCCUACACCAUGUGGGCUGGGUAUUUGGAUUGGCAAUGGAGGAUAGUCAGGACCAUACAGAAUGAGAUUAAUGAGAACAAGAAGCAAGUCAAACCUACCCCAUUUACACCUGAAGGGGACACCUAUGGCUGAGGAACCAGC